rnacentral:lncRNA from 1 species
AUGCGCCGCGUUUUUCCAGGAACAAAUCGAUGGAACGGGGCGGCGAGCGCAGAGCAGGAGGCGCAGCCCCGGGGCCGCCCGGGUGAGACCCCCAAGCCCUCCCGGAGGAGGGAGCCCGGCGGCGCAGGACGAGAACCUGCCCCGCGGCUGCGGCUCGGCGCGCCCCGCAAAGAUGAGUUUGGAGGAGCGAGUGCGCCGCGGACAACCUGGACGAGCGGGGAGAGGCUGGGGCUCCCCCCGGGGCUGGGGGAGCAGCACCCCCGGCGCGGUGGCCCCUCACGGUCGCCCCUCACGGCGGCGCCGGGCCCGGCCCGGGGCCCGCUCCGCUCCGCGGCGGGGCCGGGGGGAGCCUCUCCGGGCCGAGGCGGAGCAAACCCGGCUAAUGAUGUGCAGACGUGACUCCGCCGCCUUUCCCCCACUCCAUCGGAAGAGCAUAAAGGCCAAUAAAUUACCUCCGCUGCUUAUCUGAAAAUCCAUCUAUCCUGUCGCUAUUUUUUUUUUCCCUCCGCUGGAGGAGAUCGCGUUUGUGCAACACGCCGAAGCCGCCCCUCGAAGGCGGGCUGUGGGGCAGCGCCCUCCGGCCCCCCCGGGAGGCUUCGGAGCCCGGCUCGGCCCCUCCCCGCCCCAAAUCCUGCCGAAACCAGCUGCUUGUGGGGGCAGCCCCGGCUGAGCUCUGUGUCCCCCCCUCCCCCGGGCAGUGCGGAGCCGAGCGGGGGCUGGCGGGGAGGGUCCUCCCCUGCGCCGCCGUCCCCGGGCUUCCCCCGGGCGAAAGCAAUAAAGCGGGUAAUUAGACUGCUAAAGACGGAUGUAAAUAACGGGGAGGAGGCGGCAGUGACAGGCGUG